rnacentral:rRNA from 1 species
UGGAUAAGGCAUGCAAGUCGGACGCAUUUUCUAGCUUUUCCGGAAAAUGAGUGGCGAAUGGGUGAGUAACGCGUGGGUAAUUUGCCUUUGAGACUGGGAUAACCUGUCGAAAGACGGGCUAAUACCAGAUAUGACCACAUUCUCUUCGGAGGAUGAGGUAAAUGGACGGGGACUGCGGCGAAAGCCGCUGCCUGUCGCUCGAAGAUAAGCCCGCGUCCUAUCAGCUUGUUGGUGAGGUAACGGCUCACCAAGGCAAUGACGGGUAGCUGGUUUGAGAGGAUGGUCAGCCACACUGGAAAUGAGACACGGUCCAGACUCCUACGGGAGGCAGCAGCCGAGAAUCUUCCGCAAUGGGCGAAAGCCUGACGGAAGGACGCCGCGUGUAGGAUGAAGGCCUUCGGGUUGUAAACUUC